rnacentral:rRNA from 1 species
UGGGUUAAGUCCCGCAACGAGCGCAACCCUUGUUCCUAGUUGCCAGCAUUGAGUUGGGCACUCUAGGGAGACUGCCGGUGACAAACCGGAGGAAGGUGAGGAUGACGUCAAGUCAGCAUGCCCCUUACGCUCUGGGCUACACACGUGCUACAAUGGCGCGGACAAAGGGUCGCGAGCGCGCGAGCGUGAGCCAACCCCAAAAACCGCGUCUCAGUUCAGAUCGCAGGCUGCAACUCGCCUGCGUGAAGGCGGAAUCGCUAGUAAUCGCAGAUCAGCAUGCUGCGGUGAAUACGUUCCCGGGCCUUGUACACACCGCCCGUCACACCAUGGGAGCUGGCCAUGCCCGAAGUCGGAGCACCCGCCGAAGGCAGGGCUGGUGACUGGGGUGAAGUCGUAACAAGGUAGCCGUACCGGAAGGUGCGGCUGGAUCACCUCCUUU